UACGUAGGGUGCAAGCGUUGUCCGGAAUUAUUGGGCGUAAAGAGCUCGUAGGCGGUCUGUCACGUCGGCUGUGAAAACCCGAGGCUCAACCUCGGGCCUGCAGUCGAUACGGGCAGACUAGAGUUCGGUAGGGGAGACUGGAAUUCCUGGUGUAGCGGUGAAAUGCGCAGAUAUCAGGAGGAACACCGGUGGCGAAGGCGGGACUCUGGGCCGAUACUGACGCUGAGGAGCGAAAGCGUGGGGAGCGAACAGG
rnacentral:rRNA from 1 species